UCUCUGGUGGCGCAGCGGUGAAGCGCGCCGGUUGUGGUGCGACAGGUUGUGGGUUCGUUUCCCACCGCAUAGAA